AGAGUUUGAUCAUGGCUCAGAACGAACGCUGGCGGCGUGGAUAAGACAUGCAAGUCGAACGCUGAUUUCAGGGUAGCAAUAUUCUGAAGUUGGAGUGGCGCAAGGGUGCGUAACACGUGGGUAAUUUGCCGUGAAGCCCGGAAUAACUCGCUGAAAGGCGAGCUAAUACCGGAUGUGAUUUUUGGAGGGCAUCCUCUGGAACUCAAAGCUGGGGACCGUAAGGCCUGGCACUUCUCGAUAAGCCCGCGGCCUAUCAGCUAGUUGGUGAGGUAAUGGCUCACCAAGGCUAAGACGGGUAGCUGGUCUGAGAGGACGACCAGCCACACUGGAACUGAGACACGGUCCAGACACCUACGGGUGGCAGCAGUCGAGAAUUUUUCACAAUGGGCGAAAGCCUGAUGGAGCGACGCCGCGUGGGGGAUGAAUGGCUUCGGCCCGUAAACCCCUGUCAUUUGCGAACAAACCUUAUCAUUUAAAAGAUGAUGAGCUGAUUGUAGCGAAAGAGGAAGGGACGGCUAACUCUGUGCCAGCAGCCGCGGUAAUACAGAGGUCCCAAGCGUUGUUCGGAUUCACUGGGCGUAAAGGGUGCGUAGGUGGCCGGUUAAGUCUGACGUGAAAUCUCCGAGCCUAACUCGGAAACUGCGUCGGAAACUAUCCGGCUCGAGGGUUGGAGGGGGGACUGGAAUACUUGGUGUAGCAGUGAAAUGCGUAGAUAUCAAGUGGAACACCAGUGGCGAAGGCGAGUCCCUGGACAACUCCUGACACUGAGGCACGAAAGCUAGGGGAGCAAACAGGAUUAGAUACCCUAGUAGUCC
rnacentral:rRNA from 1 species